rnacentral:pre_miRNA from 1 species
AUUCUACUCCCUCCAUUGCACAAUACAUGCCUUCUAUUUGUCAAAAUAUAUAUAUGUAUCUAGACAUGUUUUAGUAUAUAGGUACAUCCAUUUUUGGACAAAUGGAAGUCAAGUAUUUUGGAACGGAGGGAGUACACA